UGAACGCUGACAGAAUGCUUAACACAUGCAAGUCUUUGGCGAAGCUGUGCUUGCACAGCCUAGCCAAGGCGGACGGGUGAGUAACGCGUAAGGAACUUGCCCUGCAGUCAGGGAUAACAGACGGAAACGACUGAUAAGACCUGGUAAAGUCAGGCGGACUCAUGUCUAGCCUGAUGAAAAGAGAUGCUGCAGGAGAGCCUUGCGUCCUAUUAGCUUGUUGGUGGGGUAACGGCCCACCAAGGCGAUGAUAGGUAGCCGGCCUGAGAGGGUGGACGGCCACAAGGGGACUGAGAUACGGCACUUACUCCUACGGGAGGCAGCAGUGGGGAAUAUUGGACAAUGGGGGCAACCCUGAUCCAGCAAUUCUGUGUGCACGAUGAAGGUUUUCGGAUUGUAAAGUGCUUUCAGCAGGGAAGAAAAAAUGACGGUACCUGCAGAAGAAGCGACGGCUAAAUACGUG
rnacentral:rRNA from 1 species